AGAGUUUGAUCAUGGCUCAGAUUGAACGCUGGCGGCAGGCUUAACACAUGCAAGUCGAGCGGUAACAGGGGUAGCUUGCUACCCGCUGACGAGCGGCGGACGGGUGAGUAAUGCUUAGGAAUCUGCCCAGUAGUGGGGGAUAGCCCGGGGGAAACCCGGAUUAAUACCGCAUACGUCCUACGGGAGAAAGCAGGGGAUCUUCGGACCUUGCGCUAUUGGAUGAGCCUAAGUCGGAUUAGCUAGUUGGUGGGGUAAAGGCCUACCAAGGCGACGAUCCGUAGCUGGUCUGAGAGGAUGAUCAGCCACAUCGGGACUGAGACACGGCCCGAACUCCUACGGGAGGCAGCAGUGGGGAAUAUUGGACAAUGGGGGCAACCCUGAUCCAGCCAUGCCGCGUGUGUGAAGAAGGCUUUCGGGUUGUAAAGCACUUUCAGUAGGGAGGAAAACCUUAUGGCUAAUACCCAUGAGGCUUGACGUUACCUACAGAAGAAGCACCGGCUAACUCCGUGCCAGCAGCCGCGGUAAUACGGAGGGUGCAAGCGUUAAUCGGAAUUACUGGGCGUAAAGCGCGCGUAGGUGGUUUGGUAAGCGAGAUGUGAAAGCCCCGGGCUUAACCUGGGAACGGCAUUUCGAACUGUCAGACUAGAGUGUGGUAGAGGGUAGUGGAAUUUCCUGUGUAGCGGUGAAAUGCGUAGAUAUAGGAAGGAACACCAGUGGCGAAGGCGGCUACCUGGACCAACACU
rnacentral:rRNA from 1 species